rnacentral:misc_RNA from 1 species
UCUCCGUUGGUGAACCAGCGGAGGGAUCAUUACAGAGUCGUAAAACACUCCCAAACCCAUGUGAACUUACCAUUGUUGCCUCGGCGGGCUACCCUGUAGACCGCCGGUGGACCAUUAAACUCUUGUUAUUCUAUGGAUAUCUGAGCGUCUUAUUUUAAUAAGUCAAAACUUUCAACAACGGAUCUCUUGGUUCUGGCAUCAAUGAAGACCGAAGC